rnacentral:rRNA from 1 species
AGUGAACGCUGGCGGCGUGCCUAAUACAUGCAAGUCGAACGGAGUGGCGCACGGGUGAGUAAUAUAUAGCUAAUCUGCCCCUUGCUGUAGGACAACAGUUAGAAAUGACUGCUAAUACUCCAUAGGAAGGGAGGAGAGUAUAUCGUAUCAGCUGGUCGGUGGGGUAACGGCCGACCGAGGCGAGGACGCGUAACUGGUCUGAGAGGAUGAUCAGUCAGAUUCGAACUGAUACGCGGGCCAGACUCCUACGGGAGGGAGCAGUAGGGAAUAUUGCGCAAUGGGGGAAACGCUGACGGAGCAACGGCGCGUGGAGGAUGAAACUUUUUCGAGCGUAAACUACGUUUGUUAGGGAAGCGGUAGCUAACGAAUAAGCACCGGCUAACUCCGUGCCAGCAGCCGCGGUAAUUC